CGAGCGCGAGUGUGUGCGUGUGCGAGCUGGUCGGGGGCGGCUGGUGCGGCGACGGCGGCAACGGCGGUGCGAGUCGCAUUGAACCGCGAUGAUCGUGCUGUGGGAGAUUGGAAAAUCUCCAUGCGUGCUAUGUUUGGCUAGGCAGACGAUGAACGAAUAGAGCCGGGUAUGAACGUAUGGCACAAGAUCUAACCAGGUAUGGGCACCGAUCCGAAUCGGUCGUAGUACAUGUCAAACAUCGCGUGGAUAUCUCGCAUGAAAGUUUUGCAUUCUCUCUGCACUCGACCUGCGGAAUGUUCAUUGCUCUUAAGGAUAGGUACGCAGGGCAUAUGGAGUGUCUGCGAUUGGAAGCCGAGAAUGAAUGCGUGAGAGGUUUUGGUGCUUUCGCGUGACUAAGGCUCGAGGAUACGGUUGAUCACGUCAGACGUUCCCGGCCGAUUUUCUUUUACGUCCGACCCAUAUUAGGUUGCUAUAGGUUGCCGUGCCCGUGGGGAACGGCACUGCUACCGUAAGUUCGCGCUGUGAUUUGUAAGCAUGGUCCUCGGAGUCCUGAGCCCUCGGCGCACACCAGGCGCCGUCUUCAUAUAUAAGGUCUCUACCGCGCAUACGUCCGACGUACCUUUGAAAAAAUCGGCCGAGUAUGUCCAACGUAUAUAAGGAAUGCCUUCCGGGUACGUCCAAACUACCUUUAGUCACAGCGUUAAUUCUCUGCUUGCAAGGCGCCGGUAGUCGUCUGUAGGUGUCAACACGGCUGAGAAUAGUUGAUGGAAACCAAUGUCGUUGGUCAAAGUUCUCAAGACAGUGCUUACUCGCUCGCGUCGAAGCUUGUGAACGGUUACACCUGAAACCACUUUAUGUCUCUUUUUUUCGGAUACAGCUUUUUCCGGGAUACCAGCAAGCGCUACAGCUGUUGCGCCGUCUUGUUACAGAAGGACUGGGCAUCCGCAGACACAAGUGCAGUCCUUCAACCACUGCUGGUGUCAAGUGCAGGAAAAUAACAAGGGGCUCACAGAUUUUUGUUCUCUGGUACAGAGCAGCCGAGACAGCAUAAUGCUGGAUUGUAACUCUGUUGUUACAGUGUCUUUCACCAAGCACAGCUGUUCCGGGGACGGCCACGUGCUGUCUUUUUGCCUGUUUGCUACGGUCGACACGGUGGAGGCAGGUCGUGACAUUGCACGGACGGCUGGACACCGAAGCGACGCAGGCUGACCAUCAACCUUCUCAAGGGUGACCCAUCUUCAGCCUCCUGAGUACGCUGAAGGCAUCAUACUCACCUAGCCAUGCCUGGAGGAGUUCUGGAUGUCUCAGUGGAAAUCUGCGGGAGACAACGAGGUCGGACUGUCAAAACACCGAAACAAUGCUGUCUUUCAAUAAAGCAAAUACAUAUUUGUGCAUUUCUAA